AUUGAACGCUGGCGGCAGGCCUAACACAUGCAAGUCGAGCGGAUGAAGGGAGCUUGCUCCUGGAUUCAGCGGCGGACGGGUGAGUAAUGCCUAGGAAUCUGCCCGGUAGUGGGGAUAACGUCCGGAAACGGGCGCUAAUACCGCAUACGUCCUGAGGGAGAAAGUGGGGGAUCUUCGGACCUCACGCUAUCAGAUGAGCCUAGGUCGGAUUAGCUAGUUGGUGGGGUAAAGGCCUACCAAGGCGACGAUCCGUAACUGGUCUGAGAGGAUGAUCAGUCACACUGGAACUGAGACACGGUCCAGACUCCUACGGGAGGCAGCAGUGGGGAAUAUUGGACAAUGGGCGAAAGCCUGAUCCAGCCAUGCCGCGUGUGUGAAGAAGGUCUUCGGAUUGUAAAGCACUUUAAGUUGGGAGGAAGGGCAGUAAGUUAAUACCUUGCUGUUUUGACGUUACCAACAGAAUAAGCACCGGCUAACUUCGUG
rnacentral:rRNA from 1 species